ACUUAAAUAGUUUAAUUAAAAAUAAUGAUUUGUGGUGUCAUUGAUAUAAUAUGGUUAUUUUAAGUU
rnacentral:tRNA from 1 species